ensembl:lncRNA
AUGGAUUUUUUGAUGACAGAUCCAACAUAUAAACUUCUUAUCUUUUUAUUCAUGAUACCAGGAAUGUACGGAGAUAUUAUAAAUUAUAAUGCUGCCACAAUUGCUGUGGAGGGACAGAACAUCAGCCUGCAGUGCAUUGUGGGAGAGGAGCAAAACAUCACAAUUAUCCAGCUGGAAUGGAUUAAACAGCAAAAACCAAAUGAGAAGAACGAUCAGAAGAUUGUUGUGUUCCAUCCUAUGUUGCCAACAUAUUAUUUUCGAUCCGGUUCUCUUCUGGAGACAGUGACCAGUUCAAAAACUGGGAAGCUGCAGGGCUCAAUCCUGACUCUGCAUGAAGUUACAGUGAAUGACAGUGGAAAUUAUAUUUGCGAAAUUACUUCUUAUCCCAAUGGCUCAAUUAAAAGAAUCACAAAGCUGCAAGUGACAGAGCCUCCAGCAUCAGUGAGGAUGCCAUAUCCAUAUGGAUUCAUAAAAGAGGGGGAUGAUAUGAAAAUAACUUGUUCAGCGAUCCCUCCACCACUCCAUUAUAAACUUGGAAGGUCAAAGGACCAGACAUUUUGGCUGGAAAGCUCAAACGGAGAGUUCAUUUUACCAAACGUCACCAGAAAUGACAGCGAUGUGUACAUCUGUUUACCUGAAUGGGACUCAUUAGUCCGAAAUCAGCAAGGUCUCAAUGCCACCGUCGAACUGACUGUGAAUUUUCUUGAUGGCAUUGAGUGUAACACAAGCAGCCCUUUAAACGUCAGCGCUGGUGAGGAUGUAGCGAUUUCUUGUAUCGCAAAAGCUUCACAGCACUUGCAGUAUAAGUGGAUGAGGGGUGACAAAAUACUGUCUCUCUCAGACACUUUGUCUCUGACCUCCGUAACAUCUGACCAGUCAGGAACAUACAAACUGACAGCUGUCUUUCUGGACAAUCAACUCCAGACAGACAUGGAGAUUUUUAUCCAGGUUCUCUCAAAGCAAAGUGAAGGAAUGACAACUCCUUUCCCAGUAAGGACCACCAAACAUCUGAGCAGCUUUACCUCCAAUGGGACCAGCUCAUGGAGCACUGAUACCACUGUGUCUACAUCACAAUCUGGUCACUUGCUAGCCAGCACAGUGAAACCAAAUGCCACUCUGACAACCUUACAACCCAGAUACACCAGCCAUCCCACUCCUCUCACUGGCAGCUCUUCUGCUCCACCUGUUGGCAAUGCAUCUACAUUACAUGCAAGCACUGUAAAAUCUAUAGACACCUCUACAGACAGUUUGAGCACAACUCCAGAUCCAGCUACAAGAAGAGAAAGAAUCACCACUGAUAUAACACAGAAAAACAUCACCACUGUUACAGCAACAAAAGGGUGA